AGACGAGAUGCUGUUUUUAGGGCAGUUUAUUAAAGAAGACCUGACAUGGAUAUGACUCACAAUGAGAAACGACUGCUAAUACUUAUAUAAAUUCAUUACAGAAGGACCCUACCAGACUAUAUUUGAAUACGGCAUACCCAUGAAUUCUGGAACUGUUAUUCCUUAACCCAGUUUGGAGGAUAAGAGCUUACCAACUAGUUAUAAAUAUGCUGAGGUGAUGUAUUGCAAAAUAGCCAACAUACAACAAUUAAAGGAUAAUUGCAGACUACAUCCUGAUGAAGAUAUGGAUGACCCUCUGUCUGGUCAACAGGAGUUUAAAUAUGG